GCGAGUGAAGCGGUAAAAGCUCAAAUUUGAAAUCUGGCUCUUUUAGAGUCCGAAUUGUAAUUUGUAGAAGAUGCUUCGGGUGUGGUUCCGGUCUAAGUUCCUUGGAACAGGACGUCAUAGAGGGUGAGAAUCCCGUAUGUGACUGGAUACCUAUACUCAUGUGAAGCACUACCGACGAGUCGAGUUGUUUGGGA
rnacentral:rRNA from 1 species